rnacentral:tRNA from 1 species
GGAGGGGUGCCGGAGAGGUUGAUCGGGACGGUCUCGAAAACCGUUGUGGGGCUUAUGCUUCACCGUGGGUUCGAAUCCCACCCCCUCCG